rnacentral:rRNA from 1 species
GACGAACGCUGGCGGCGUGCCUAACACAUGCAAGUGGAGCGACGAACCAGGGCUUGCCCUGGGGCCAAGCCGCGAACGGGUGAGUAACACGUGGGUAACCUGCCCCGAUGACCGGGACAACCCGAGGAAACUCGGGCUAAUACCGGAUGUGGGUGGACACACUUAAGUGUGUCCACUAAAGGAAGCUUCGGCCUCCGCAUUGGGAGUGGGCCCGCGG